rnacentral:rRNA from 1 species
UACGUAGGGUCCGAGCGUUGUCCGGAAUUAUUGGGCGUAAAGGGCUCGUAGGCGGUCUGUUGCGUCGGGAGUGAAAAUUCACAGCUUAACUGUGAACUUGCUUCCGAUACGGGCAGACUUGAGGUAUUCAGGGGAGAACGGAAUUCCGGGUGUAGCGGUGGAAUGCGUAGAGAUCCGGAAGAACACCGGUGGCGAAGGCGGCCCGACUGGGCCAGUUGCUGGACACUGAGGCGCGACAGCG